CUAGUACACGGGAUGGAGGUGACCUUCUGCAUGAUGACUUCACUAGUACACGGGAUGGAGGUAACCUUCUGCAUGAUGACUUCUCUAGUACACGGGAUGGAAGUAACCUUCUGCAUGAUGACUUCGCUAGUACACGGGAUGGAAAACAUUCCGAUGUCUCCAUGGAUUUUACAGUGUGCUGCACAGACCCAUGGCACAGUGAGUAGAAAGUCAUCUAAGUGUCUAGUCUUCCUGGGUCAGCAGUAUAGAAUGCGUUCAGGAGUGUGUGACUCUUGUACACUUCAAAAGCCUGGAGACAAGUGCUUCCCAGCUGUGCUGCAGAAGUGGGCCCUGGGUGCAGAGCCGGAAGCUUCCAGAUUCUCUGCAUGGCUGACCCAGAGCUGCCUCCACAUCCCUG
rnacentral:lncRNA from 1 species